CCAGCAAUCGGUUUUCGAAUUGCUGGAUUUUUCAGCAUUCGGUUAUGUGCUCGUUUUUGCUGAAAAAUCAGCAAUCGGUUUUCAAAUUGCUGGAUUUUCCAGCAAUUGAUCUAGUUUGCUGGAAAAUCAGCAAUGGAGUUUGUUUUUGUUUCGUACGCUGAAGUAAGUAAAAAAUCAGCCUACCUAGCCGCUUCGUUUAGACAGCAGCCGCCGGCUUCGAGAAAAAAAUAGUUCGACGCGAAUCAGUGCUUUUGAACAAAUUAGAUGCUGGUGGAACCUGCAAAGACUGGGCUGACAACGACGGAAUGGAAGCCAGGUCGACAUCGCGCAUGUGAUGGACAAUUGGAUGAAGAUUGACACCGGGAGCAAACAGGUUGCUGCUGCCAUCAGGAUGACCGACUUAAGAAGUAAGCCGAUCUGGCCUCAUCUGUUUUCUGCUCGGCGGAUGGUCCAGCUACUGCGGUCAAGUGCUGUUUUGUUUCUCAAGUGCAGAAAGUGUAGUGAA